GAUGAACGCUGGCGGCGUGCCUAAUACAUGCAAGUCGAGCGAACAGAUGAGGAGCUUGCUCCUCUGACGUUAGCGGCGGACGGGUGAGUAACACGUGGAUAACCUACCUAUAAGACUGGGAUAACUUCGGGAAACCGGAGCUAAUACCGGAUAAUAUAUUGAACCGCAUGGUUCAAUAGUGAAAGACGGUUUUGCUGUCACUUAUAGAUGGAUCCGCGCCGCAUUAGCUAGUUGGUAAGGUAACGGCUUACUAAGGCAACGAUGCGUAGCCGACCUGAGAGGGUGAUCGGCCACACUGGAACUGAGACACGGUCCAGACUCCUACGGGAGGCAGCAGUAGGGAAUCUUCCGCAAAGGGCGAAAGCCUGACGGAGCAACGCCGCGUGAGUGAUGAAGGUCUUCGGAUCGUAAAACUCUGUUAUUAGUGAAGAACAAAUGUGUAAGUAACUAUGCACGUCUUGACGGUACCUAAUCAGAAAGCCACGGCUAACUACGUG
rnacentral:rRNA from 1 species